AAGACUAUACUUUCAGGGAUCAUUUCUAGAGUUUCUGACUUGAGGAAUGUGUUUCUAAAGUGUUUGGUCUUGCUGACUACGAUGAUGAGUCGUGAUAUUCCUUUCUGAGUGUGAAGCUGAGUAAUGCUGAGUAAUGAUUCACUUCAUAUGCUCUCUGUCAUUGAUGAUUGUUCUUUGCUUCUUUAUGGAGUGUUGAGGAAGGGAAUAUGAUCAGAGUGGU